CGGUUCACCGAGAAAUGGGAGUGGCGAACGGGUGAGUAACACGUGGGUAACCUACCCAUCAGCGGGGGAUAACACUUGGAAACAGGUGCUAAUACCGCAUAAUUCUUUUCUUCGCCUGGAGGAAAGAUGAAAGACGCUUUUGCGUCACUGAUGGAUGGACCCGCGCUGCAUUAGCUAGUUGGUGGGGUAACGGCUCACCAAGGCCACGAUGCAUAGCCGACCUGAGAGGGUGAUCGGCCACACUGGGACUGAGACACGGCCCAGACUCCUACGGGAGGCAGCAGUAGGGAAUCUUCGGCAAUGGACGAAAGUCUGACCGAGCAACGCCGCGUGAGUGAAGAAGGUUUUCGGAUCGUAAAACUCUGUUGUUAGAGAAGAAUAAGGAUGAGAGUAGAAUGUUCAUCCCUUGACGGUAUCUAACCAGAAAGCCACGGCUAACUACGUGCCAGCAGCCGCGGUAAUACGUAGGUGGCAAGCGUUGUCCGGAUUUAUUGGGCGUAAAGCGAGCGCAGGCGGUUUCUUAAGUCUGAUGUGAAAGCCCCCGGCUUAACCGGGGAGGGUCAUUGGAGACUGGGAGACUUGAGUGCAGAAGAGGAGAGUGGAAUUCCAUGUGUAGCGGUGAAAUGCGUAGAUAUAUGGAGGAACACCAGUGGCGAAGGCGACUCUCUGGUCUGUAACUGACGCUGAGGC
rnacentral:rRNA from 1 species